GGGGGUGAUCGGUUUCGACGUCGAUCGUGCGAUCAGGGGAAGCGGGCCGAGGAUAUCGGGUUAUCUCGUUAACGCUCCCGGUAAACCAAUAGGUGCCGAUUCCAAGCGCACCGACUUCGCCCUCGCCGCCUGAGCGAGCCUGAAGUCUGUCAGCCUAGGUGUGAUCUCGGCCUAGUGUCUGGCAUCAGCUAGAGAUCUUGCUACGCAGCGGUGUCGGGACGCUGCGUGGGACUUUUUCUCGACUGGGCCUGUCAGGGGACGUGUGCGUGCGAGCCCUGAGGCCGAGAAAAUCCAUAGCGCACUGCGCCCGGAGAAGCCCUGGUUCUGCGUCGGCGGACGCGGGUUCGAUUCCCGCCACCUCCACUC
rfam:Mobilicoccus pelagius NBRC 104925 DNA, contig: MOPEL073.